rnacentral:lncRNA from 1 species
AUGUGCAGGGAGCCACCGGGAACGGCAAAUCCAGCGGGCGGGGGACGGCGGGGCCCCGGCUCCUCGCUCUGCCGGCCCCCGGGGCGGGGAAGGCCGGCGGGCUGCGCUCCUCGUCCCCGCACAGCCCUCGCUCGCCGAUCUCCACGUCCUACUGGGCCAGCGGAGAAAAGCCCCGCUCUGCUGCCCACCGCAGCUCCUCUCUCCCGGGGGUCAGCAUGCAGCGGCCCGGGCCGCCCGGGGAAGGGGCUCUCUCAUUCGGCCGCAGCUCUCUCGGUCCGGAGGCAACGGGGAGCAAAUCCAGCCCUUCCUGCAAAGCGGAGCGUCUGGAUCGAGCCUCAGGCGGCUGCAGGCUGCGGCAGGCAGCGGGGCUGUUGCGAUGCAGGUCUCGGGGAAGAGGCGGCGGGUGCGCGGCUCCUGCUCCGGCUGUUUAUUUCCCUUUGCGAUAGCAGAGUGCAGGGCUGCGGUCCCGCUCCGGCGCUCGGCUUCACCGCAUGGUCCUUGCCGCAAGUCCCGUCUGGCAAAGUGCAACCAACACCUCUGGUGCGAAAGAUUUGGUUGGCUUUUUUUUUGGAUUGCUUUUUCGCUUCGGUAUUUUAUUUUCUUCCUAAAGCGGUCACGAAGCGGCUCUGGCUCUCCAGGCAGAGCUCAGCGAACUGCGAACGAAGCCAGAGGCAGCGCAAUGCAAUGGCCCUGCGAGCUCCCUGCACACAGCCAUGUGCUGGCUGUCGCUGCCGGGGGCCGAGUGACAGGCUCGGGGCAGGGGCAGGACGCGGCGGGGAGAGGCGGCUCCGCACGCCGCAGUCUGGCACCGAGGUCUCCGCAGGCUCGACAGGGUCGCGCAAAGCUCCGACGCGCCGGAGACCCCGCGUCGGGCGGGGACGGGCGAGUACCGGCCCGGAGCUUCUCCGUGAGCAGCGAAUCGCGCCCAGCUCAGCGCUGCCGGCCCGGGGAGCCGAGCCCCGGCUCUCCCGCCCGCUGCCCCGCGGAGCAGCGAGCGCGGCUCGCCCGCACCUCCCGCACGCCUCGCAGCGCGGCCGCCCCCAGCGCGGCGCGGGGAGCCCCGGCCGCCCGCCCGCACCUGACCCGGCGGGAGGGGGGUGUGCGGAGCGGCGAGCGCCGCCCGGGCUUACCUAG